rnacentral:tRNA from 1 species
GGGGCUAUAGCUCAGUUGGUAGAGCGCUUCGUUUACACCGAAGAUGUCAGCGGUUCGAGCCCGUUUAGCCCCA